GACAGAGGUGCUGAGCGUUAGGCGGAAUCACUGGGCUUAAAGCGUGUGUAGGCGGGUCGUUAAGUGUCUUGUGAAAUCCCACCGCUCAACGGUGGAACUGCUGGGCAUACUGGCGAUCUUGAGCCACCUAGGGGCAGACGGAACAAGCGGUGGAGCGGUGAAAUGCGCAGAUAUCGGGAGGAACACCAAUGGCGAAGGCAGCUCGCUGGGACGGUACUGACGCUGAGGUGCGAAAGCGUGGGGAGCAAACAGG
rnacentral:rRNA from 1 species